rnacentral:rRNA from 1 species
UGCCAGCAGCCGCGGUAAUACGGAGGGUGCGAGCGUUGUUCGGAUUUACUGGGCGUAAAGCGCGCGCAGGCGGAUUAACAAGUCAGAUGUGAAAUCUCGGGGCCUAACCCCGAAACUGCGUCUGAAACUGUUAGUCUAGAGUCUCGAAGGGGGCAGGGGAAUUUCACGUGUAGGGGUAAAAUCCGUAGAGAUGUGAAGGAACACCGGUGGCGAAGGCGCCUGCCUGGAAGAGAACUGACGCUGAGGCGCGAAAGCAUGGGGAGCAAACAGGAUUAGAUA